UUAUUUCCUUCUUUCUGGGGAGAUAAGAGGGUAUUGAGUCAGGGUUUCUCUGUGUAGCCCUGGCUAACUUGGAACUCAUUCUGUAGACCAGGCUGGCCUCAAACUCACAGAAAUCCACCUGCCUCUGCUCCCAAGUGCUGGAAUCAAAGGCAUGCGCCACCACCGCCCAGGUAGCCUUGAACUUCCAAACAACCUCCCAACACCCAGGACUGCAUGUGGUCCUUGUUGUUUUAUACAUACAUAUUUACAUGUUUAAUCUAAAACCUAAGGAUAGUGUCCAAAAUACACAUAAUUAUUUUAUCUAUUAAAAUGAACAAUAAAGUUGUUAACAGUCACUUCCUAGUUUUCAAUAAUCUGUCUAUAUUAAAUAAUUUAUAAUUAUUUCAAAAUUUCAUUUAUAACAGUUUUAUAAUCUAGAAGUAGUCAAGUACUACGUCCAAAUUUGGUUUCGCUCCACAGGCUCUCUCUCUCUCUCUCUCUCUCUCUCUCUCUCUCUCUCUCUCAAAAGAUUUAUUUUAAGUUACAGGUAUAUAUGUAUUAGAUAGUGGUGGUAUGUGGACAUGCAGUCAGGUGCCCACAGGGUCCAGAAGAGAGUGUCACAUUCCCCUGUGGCUGGAGUUACAGUAACUGAGAGCUGUGGCAUGAGGGUGGUUGGAACAGAACUCUGGUCCUCUGCAAGAGCAGCAAGCCAUCUUCACCUUUGAGCCCUCUCUAGCCCUCUCUUGUCUCUUUCUUGUGGUGUUAGAUUCCUCUCACAAACUUUUUUUUUUUUUAACUUUUCAUCCAGUUGACCUGCUGAAGAGCCCUGGUCAGUGACCUUAUGGCAUGUCCUACAUCUUGGGCUGCCUGUUUUCUCAUGACGUCAUUUCCUCGUUUCUCUGUGACUUGCACCCCAAUCCCUCUUCACUCAGGAUGUUGGCCUGCCUGACAUGAGUCCCGCUGACCACUGGCUCCUCCCCUUUCUGCCUGGAUUCCAUCCUUGGAGUUCCCUUGAUGUCAGUAGGUCAUUUUUCCCAAGAAGAUGCCUCCUGCUUCCUGCCCAUCUAGAGAUCAGAGCGGGGGAAGGCUUGGGGUUUCCACUUCCAAUACCUGAGCAUCCCUCAGUGCCUUCUGGCUUUUGGACCAGAAGUCCCCUGUUCUCUGCAGGUGAACAAGCCUCUGAUCUUUGGCUAGGACAAGAGAGGGGCAGGGUCCUGGAGGUCAGGCAGCUUUCUGUUUUGUUUUGUUUUUCAAGACAGGGUUUCUCUGUGUAGUCCUGGCUGACCUGUAACUCAUUCUGUAGACCAGGCUGGCCUUGAACUCAUAGAUCUGUCUGCCUCUGCCUCCUGAGAGCUGGGAUUAAAUGUUCAAGUAGCUUCUUGAUUAUUACCUCCACUGCUCAUAAGGUUGUACCUGCCGUUGUGGGUUCUGGGCCUUUGAUGCCUGGGAACAGAGCUGUUUGCGUUCUCCCAGCGUGUUCUCAGAACUGCCUGGAUGGCUGUCUCUUUACCAUCUGUUUUCCACCUUCUGGCUGUUGCUGCUUGUUGUCUCUGUGUUCUUGGUCCUGGUGGGCUAGUUUUCUCUGCAAAUCUCUUUCCUGGUGCUUAGCCAAGUGUAGAGGGAGAGACUAAAUUCGUGGCGGCUAAUCCACCAGCUCUAUCCACUAGUGGAUUUAGAAAAAUGCUUUGAAUGGCCAGGAGAGUGUUUCAGUGAGAAAGGUUUGCUUCAGAGGCAACAAUACCCCCGGGCCCUUUGGAUUAACCCUGAAGUUCGGUUGCUCAGCAGGAUGCUGGGAGAAUUUAGAAUUAUAGAGAAAGCAAGUAGUCUGAGACCAGAGAGGAAGGGAAGAUGUAAAGAUAGAUGUGAUAAGAACCCAGGGACAGUGGGAGGCACACUCCGUGCUGUAACCAAGGGCAGACGCAGAGCUUAGUGCUGUAGGAACUUCCUGCUGGGGGCGCUGGUUGAAGCGCUUGGGAGAACAGCUCUGUCCUCCAUCUGUCUUAGGCUGGCUGUUGGCCUGGCAUUAGAACAGGGGCUGCUGCCUUCCCGCCUCUGUGUUUCCUUCCUCUUUGAGUUGAACAUAAGUGUUUUGGGGAGAAAAAUCCAUUUCCUCUGCAGGAAAUUGUGGCCACACAACUCUGUUCUUGCCGAUAGGAUUUUAGCAUCGGUGUGACCGAGUCCUGCGCGAUAAAUGUGAGCAUGAAUGUCAUGUCAGAGUUCCAGGAAGGCCAAUUAAAGGGAUUUCCUCGGUUGCCAUACCUCUUUAAAGCCCAUCUGCUGUUAAGACCGAAAUUUGGAUGAAAUGGCUGGAGUUGUAGGAGAUGAGGAACGAGGGAGGAGGCUUAGAGAGGUUAACUAGCUUGUCUAGUGGUGACCUGUCCGUAGCAGUCAUCAUCUGGCCUUGAAACACACCCAGCCUUUGGAGCUCAAGUCACAGAAAAGUCACCAGCCAAGCCCAUUCCGACUGACACCUUCCCUGCCUGCCACCUCCACAUCUUGGAUUAUAGAAUCAGAGUGCCAGCCCAGCAAGCAUGCCCAAGGAAUGAAGGAGGAAGACUCUGGAGUUCUGGGUGUCGCCAGCACAGACAUCAAUAAAGGCUCGGGGAGAGGCGAAAGAUUAGAAAAGGCCAGGUGACCUGGAGGGGUGGGGCCUGAGGGCUGAAGUGUAGAUUAAGAGCAGGUAAGAGGGGCUGCGGUUGUGUAGCUCGGUUGCUUAGGAUGCAUGAAGCCCUGGGUUCAGUCCCCAGCAACCCACAGAGUACAGGAGGAGCAAAAGUUCAGGGUCAUCUCCAACAUAGCAACGUUGAGCUCAGUUGGGCUGUGCCAGCUGCCUGUCUGGAGACGAGGUUCCCUCCCUGCACCAUACUGUAGAGGCAUGGUAUACAGAGCCUCUGGUUUGCAUCUGUCAAGCAUCCCCAGUGUUCAGCAUCGCCCCCUUAGGUGUGGUCCUCUGUACAUCCUGGCUUCCUUUGAGCCGAGCGGAUAGAAAGACUCAUUAGGAAAUUUGAGGCGGCUGUACUUGUUAGGAAUAGAGAGCCCUGUAAAUUCUACUUCGGGCGUGGUAGGGAGAGUUGGGACCAAAUUUUUAAGAUACAAAUAAGAGCACUUUCGUACCAUAAACUCAUCUUUGCUCAUUGAAUUAAUCAAAGAGAUAAGAAAUAUUGAAAAAAGAGAGAGUGUGUGUGCUAGGCAUAGGGCUCUUGAUUAAUGAGGAGGCCCGGAAGAACAGCUUUCUCAGGGGGGCGCAUAGGGAGCGAUCCUGUACCAAUUGCUACCUUAUCACGUAAGUUUCAUUCCUUGGUCCCCUAGCUGACUGUAAAUAAGCCAAUUUUAAGGGUACUGUUGCAAGCUAGACUCGCUGGAGUCGAGAGUUUGAGGUCACACUAAUGAGCUGUGAGUUAUGGGUGCUCUCAGGUGAUUCAGUUUUGCCCUGAAUGCGAAGGCAGCUCUCUUGGGCUUGUCUCUUGGUUCUAAAGUGCUGGCUGGUCUGUGGGGUUUGUAGGAGAGGGCAUGGCUUGCCUGGAAAAAGCCGCCGAUCUCUAAGGAUGCUCUUAAUAAAGUCACAGUAGUAAUGAGGCAGAUGGGCCCUGCAUUUGGAAUGCAAAUUCACAUCCUGGCAGAGCAGCCGGAGGAGGACCGGGCCCAGCCGAGCUCAACGGAAGCGUCCUUUUCAAACAUCUCCAUGGAGAACCUGUAUUUGCACCCAGAACGAAGGAAACAGCUUGAGGCUGAGACAGCCCUGGGGAGUUCUCAACCAAAACUAGAUUGCCCGAGGGACACCCCGGGGAAACCCUGAUGAAGAGUCCAAGUUGGACUCAUAGAAAAUGAGAGUUAAUGAGAUGCAAGGGAACAGUGAAGACUGGAGACAGCUUUGAGUGGGGAGGACAACCCAGCCUCCAAAUGCAGGGCUGAGGAAUGCUGAGAGAACUCUCCAAGUAUUUGUUAAGUUUUUGAGUCACCUAAGAGAAAUGAGCCUUCCUGGGGAAAGAACAAAGACUUCCGACCUGACAGCUUCGAGCAAGGCCGGAGCACAUCAAAACAGCCUCUGCAGAGGCGCGUGAUAAACAGCCCACAGUCCUUUUCCCCUGACUUUUAUUUCUUCUCUCUGAUCAUCCGUGUAUUUCACGAUUUCUCAUUCCUUCGUUCACUUCCACCCCGAGGGACAGGGUCACAGAGCGAUCAGGGACACAUCCAGGAACAGAAUAUUAAAGGCUCCAUCCUUGUUCCACAUCUGAGAAAGAACAUUGGGGAGCCGGGGAAAAUGAAACAAAUCACUCACCCCGACGACGGCUCAGAAUAGAUCAUUCCCGGGGCUCCGCGGCCGCGUUCGCGGCUGAAUCCGGAGCUCUGCGAAAGGCGCUUAAGAGAUUUUAUUCCUAAUCUACUUUUUCCUCCUUAGAGCUUUGGAAAUAUGGCUGUGUAAUUUAAUGAUUACAGGAGAUGAGCCGAAGAAUGAGCUAAAUAAGAUAACAUCGGCUCGCUUUGUAAUGAGGGGGCCGAAUUUUCCAAAUAUAGAGCAAAAUCCAAUUGUGGCCCUGUUGUUUAUAAAUGUUUCCUGCAUGACAUUUACAUGAGAGCCUCUGUUGGGACCCACAGUGUCCUUUUUCAUAUCUCGAGCCUUCUCCUUGGCUUUCUACAGAAUUAAGGGAGGAGAAUGCAAGCUGAUUUCUGUAGAUCACCCUGUUGGCCGUAUAGACUAGUGUGUUGUGCUGCUGAAAGAAAUAUAGGCUGGAGUUAGACAUCUACACAGUGAGCAAUGUCAAUGGUUACCAUGAGAGGCAGCAGACACCCCUGAAACAUCACGAGCUUUUCAAUAGUGGAUAACAAAUAAGAUUCAAAAAGCAAUAGUAAGAAAUACAGUUCAGCCGUGUGGUAGUGGCACACGCCUUUAAUCCCAGCACUUGGGAGGCAGAGGCAGGCGGAUUUCUGAGUUUGAGGCCAGCCUGGUCUACAGUGUGAGUUCCAGGACAGCCAGGGCUACACAGAGAAACCCUUGUCUUGAAAAAAAACAAAAAACGAAAGAAAGAAAGAGAGAAAGAAAGAAAGGAAGAGCAUGGCUCUAGCUGCAUACGUAGCUGAGAUGGUCUCGUCGGUCAUCAGUGGGAAGAGAGGCCCUUGGUCCUGUGAAGGUUUUAUGCCCCAUUAUAGGGGAAUGCCAGGGCCAGGAAGCAA
rnacentral:lncRNA from 1 species